AUGAUGUGGCACAUAAAUGUAUCCAGUGACGUGUUUCUUCUCAGGUACUCCAGGCUUUUAAAGCUUCAUGAGAUACAUACACCAGCGGCAAACAGCCAAAGAGCUGUUCUGAAGACUGCUUAUCCACAGCUGCCAGAGCAUGACAGGUUCCUACAGCAUUUUGCUAUCAGCAGCAGCGUGGGUGAAGAAUCUGUCUGUAGCGACCACUUGUCUACUGUGUUUUCAGACACAGCACCUGAAAACAACAAACAUAAAUGCAAGAGAAAGGUGAAAUGCUUGUGUAUAAAUGUAAUACAGUCAUACAUAAUUUAGCUGACGGGUCAGGCUGGAGGAAACAAAGCAUAUGAAUAAUAAUAGAUAAUAGAUAUGUGUUUGUUUGUGUAGAUGGUCCUCACUAUCAUCACAGGCUUGCCAGGCAGUCAUAAGGAGAAUCUUUGUGAUUUCUUGAUGGAAGUUAAUCAAAAUCGCGCCAGGUGAGAGAACAAUCAAGAUGCCAUGAACUAUAACCGUAAUCAUUAUAACUAUAGUGUUGGGUUACAUUUUAGAUUGGAUGUGGCAGAUUCCUAGUGAGUGAUAUUUCUGACUUUCUACCAUAAUGAUUUUUGCUGCACUGCCAUUGGAAGAUCAUUAAAAUCAAAUGGCAAUUUGUAAUUUGUGUUUUACUGCAUUUAUCCAAAUAGAAGGUUGGAAAUUCUGACUGAGUUCAAUGGAAAGCAUCUUGAAUGUUAGUGCACUAAUUUCUGUCUUUAUACACUUAUACUCCUAAAUGAGGACUGUUUGAUUGACAGGUGGGAGGUGUUUUGCCCUGCUCUGGAGAGCUCUGAGGAAUUCAGUGCGUCACACCUUCAGCGGUACCUGAGCAGCCUUCUGGCCAAACAGAGGAAGACAGAUCUAAAUACAUCCAGAGUUGUGCUGCUUAUACCAGGGUGAGACAGACAUGAACACUGAGUCUCAAAACCUUGAGGAUCAUGUUUAUUUAAGCUGCUCACUAUUGAUGAAUUUUACAACAUUGACACUGUUAUUGAACACUGAAUGGACUUGAGGCGAAUUACAACAUUGUUUCUUUCUUCAGAGCUGCUUAUAGCUGAAUUAAACUCGAUUUACAAUUGAUGAACUUUGCACAGAUAUUGAACUAAAUCUACACUAAACUGACUUGAGCUGAAUAUUGACUCUUUUGUCUUGUUAGAGCUGCCUUACAGGAGAAUUUAAAUUUGUCUCAUAUUUAAUAAAGUUUGCGUCGUUGAUUCUGUUAUUACUAUGAAGCUACUUUAAAACAGUCUGUAUUAUAUCAAGUAAAGGUGACUUGACUGUUCUGAGAUGUAGCCGGUGAUAUGCAAGAAACAAUUAAAUGAGUUUUAAUGUAUGUGUUAUAGGUACACCGAUGUGCUGGAUGUAAUCCAGGCAAUCACAGCUCAUCCAGACCCACAAGUUCACAGCCAAAUGUGACAGUGGGUGCCGUCUCAGCAUGUGUCAACCCCCUCACAUCCUUCAUCACACACAGGCAAGAGUUUUUCCACAUGACAUUCAUCACACAUACUUUUCCAGGCAAACACUUGUAGUUCAGAUAAUAAGAAUUAUAUGUAAUUAUGUCAUUAUAAUGUAAGUCUCUAAAGGGCCAGUUAACACGCUUUAAUUUCCCUUGUUUGAUGUCGUAUCUGAAGCUCUCUGAAACUGCUUUUUUACAGGCUUCUGUUCCCCAAGCUCCUGGAGCAGUGCAGUCAGGGUGAGUUUCUCUCAAUAUAGCGCUUGUGUGUGGAUGUUGCAGAAUAGAUGAUCAGAUCUGUCACUGUUGUGGGGUCGUAUCAUGUGGAAUCAAAUUUCCCUGGAUCUUUGGAGAUUGAAUAUUCUUUGUGCUAUAAAACCUACCACAAUUUUCAGAAUUUGAGACUUCCUCUUUACCUUGAAAAAGGGCAUUUUUGAAACUAAAUUUUGCACAUUUGCACAUCAACAAUGCUUAAUUGGUGUUCAGCAACAUCCUUUAUCUGCAUAUCCCUCUGAAGAAUCCCAUGGUUAGAAACCAGCGACCCUGAUAAUUUCAGUCUGAUAUGAACAAUAUCAAUCAAAGUGUACUGAGUGUAUGAAGAGAGUGAGACAUCACCAGUGCGCCCUUAAUUAAAGCAGCCUCAUUUAACCUCAGUGCUCUAGGGGAAUUGCCCCUGCAAUAAGUGCACUGUAAGUGGCUUUGGAUAAAAUGUCUGCUCAAUGAUUCCUUAGAUAAGUUUCUCUUUUAGGCGUCGUCAGCAAUGUUGUCUUCACGGGUUUGACUACUGAGCAGA
ensembl:lncRNA